rnacentral:rRNA from 1 species
UACAGAGGGCGCGAGCGUUGUCCGGAAUCACUGGGCGUAAAGGGCGCGUAGGUGGCCACUAUAAGGCCGCGGUGAAAGUUCGGGGCUCAACCCUGAAUCGGCCGCGGCGACUGUAGGGCUUGGGCACUGUAGAGGCAGAUGGAAUUCCGGGUGUAGCAGUGAAAUGCGUAGAUAUCAGGAGGAACACCGAUGGCGAAGGCAGGUCUCUGGGCUGACACUGACGCUCAUGCACGAAAGCGUGGGGAGCAAACAGG